rnacentral:rRNA from 1 species
AUUGAACGCUGGCGGCGUGCCUAACACAUGCAAGUCGAAGGAAGUGGCGCACGGGUGAGUAAUAUAUAGCUAAUCUGCCCCUUGCUGGAGGACAACCGUUAGAAAUGUCUGCUAAUACUCCAUAGCAAGGGAUGAGACUAUAUCGUAUCAGCUAGUCGGUGGGGUAACGGCCUACCGAGGCUAUGACGCGUAACUGGUCUGAGAGGAUGAUCAGUGACAUUGGAACUGAGACACAGUCGAAACUCCUACGGGAGGCAGCAGUAGGGAAUAUAGCGCAACGGGGGAAACCCAGAAGCAGCAACGCCGGGUGGAGGAUGACACUUUGUGGAUAGUAAACUACUUUGGUUACCGACGAGGUACCUAACGACUAAAGCCGGCUAACUGCAUGCCAGCAGCCGCGGUAAUUC